rnacentral:lncRNA from 1 species
UAUUCAAUAGAUAUAUAUGGCGUUUUAAUAGAUAUGUAUGUAUGAUGCUUCUCUUGUUGAAAUACUCCCAUCUACCCAUCUAUAUAUGUACAUUAUGCACACAUAUACGUAUAUACACACAACAAUUGGAAUUUAGUAGUAAAUAUCUAUGAAUGAAAAGUACUGUUAAAAACAUUAAUCUUAAAAGGUUUAGCUGAAAUAUAAGUAUAAACCAGGUAUGUUUUGGCUAGACUUGAUUCAAUUACAGUAGGAAAAUCCUCUUCCUCAUGGUUAUGUUUUGUGAGCCGUUAUCAAUGUCUUUUCAGGUUAACAGACAUCAGAAUCCUGAAAGCUGCCUUCGUGGUAUAAUUCUUGACUGGUCUGGGGAAGUCUGCGUCUUAGCAACCAUGAAGACUAAGAGAGCCGCCAUGCAGAAGGAAAAAGAACAGACUGGUGUUCAAAGGGAAGAUGCCGGAGAAUCCUCAGAAAGGUGUUUCCAUGGUGCUGAAGGAGUGGAACAGCACUUGCCUCCAAGACUCUAUCCAGAGCCAUCCAUCAUCUCCCCUGACCUGUAG